GUGAAUCAUCGAAUUUUUGAACGCAAAUUGCACUCCCUGGUAUUCCGGGGAGUAUGCCUGUUUGAGGGUCGUUAGAACAAAAAUCGAAGCGUCGCUCUUUUUUUUUAAGGGUGAUCGCGUCGGAAUUUAGCCGUCGUUCAAAUGUUAAUUUAUUUUAAAAUGGAUUGUCAUUCAUACAUCCCGU
rnacentral:misc_RNA from 1 species